GACGAACGCUGGCGGCGUGCUUAACACAUGCAAGUCGAACGGAAAGGCCCUGCUUUUGUGGGGUGCUCGAGUGGCGAACGGGUGAGUAACACGUGAGUAACCUGCCCUUGACUUUGGGAUAACUUCAGGAAACUGGGGCUAAUACCGGAUAGGAGCUCCUGCUGCAUGGUGGGGGUUGGAAAGUUUCGGCGGUUGGGGAUGGACUCGCGGCUUAUCAGCUUGUUGGUGGGGUAGUGGCUUACCAAGGCUUUGACGGGUAGCCGGCCUGAGAGGGUGACCGGCCACAUUGGGACUGAGAUACGGCCCAGCCUCCUCCGGGAGGCAGCAGUGGGGAAUAUUGCACAAUGGGCGGAAGCCUGAUGCAGCAACGCCGCGUGCGGGAUGACGGCCUUCGGGUUGUAAACCGCUUUCGCCUGUGACGAAGCGUGAGUGACGGUAAUGGGUAAAGAAGCACCGGCUAACUACGUG
rnacentral:rRNA from 1 species